rnacentral:rRNA from 1 species
UACGUAGGGGGCAAGCGUUGUCCGGAAUCAUUGGGCGUAAAGAGCGUGUAGGCGGCUCGAUAAGUCUGCUGUGAAAGUCCAGGGCUCAACCCUGGGAUGCCGGUGGAUACUGUCGGACUAGAGUGCGGAAGAGGCGAGUGGAAUUCCCGGUGUAGCGGUGAAAUGCGCAGAUAUCGGGAGGAACACCAAUUGCGAAGGCAGCUCGCUGGGACGUUACUGACGCUGAGACGCGAAAGCGUGGGGAGCAAACAGG